GACGCCGCGUGACUGAAGAAGUAUUUCGGUAUGUAAAGGUCUAUCAGCAGGGAAGAAAAUGACGGUACCUGACUAAGAAGCCCCGGCUAACUACGUGCCAGCAGCCGCGGUAAUACGUAGGGGGCAAGCGUUAUCCGGAUUUACUGGGUGUAAAGGGAGCGUAGACGGCUCUGCAAGUCUGGAGUGAAAGCCCGGGGCUCAACCCCGGGACUGCUUUGGAAACUGUGGAGCUAGAGUGCAGGAGAGGUAAGUGGAAUUCCUAGUGUAGCGGUGAAAUGCGUAGAUAUUAGGAGGAACACCAGUGGCGAAGGCGGCUUACUGGACUGUAACUGACGUUGAGGCUCGAAAGCGUGGGGAGCAAACAGGAUUAGAUAC
rnacentral:rRNA from 1 species